rnacentral:rRNA from 1 species
CCUACGGGACGCAGCAGUGAGGAAUAUUGGUCAAUGGUCGGGAGACUGAACCAGCCAAGCCGCGUGAGGGAUGAAGGUACAGAGCAUCGUAAACCUCUUUUGUCAGGGAACAAAAGCGGGGACGUGUCCCCGGAUGAGUGUACCUGAAGAAAAAGCAUCGGCUAACUCCGUGCCAGCAGCCGCGGUAAUACAGAGGUCUCAAGCGUUGUUCGGAAUCACUGGGCUUAAAGCGUGCGUAGGCUGGUUAGCAAGUC